GGGGCUGUAGCUCAGCUGGGAGAGCGCGUGCAUGGCAUGCAUGAGGUCAGGGGUUCGAUCCCCCUCAGCUCCACCA
rnacentral:tRNA from 1 species